AGGGAAGGGAAGGGAAGGGAAGGGAAGGGAAGGGAAGGGAAAGCUUAACUUGGUUUGUCUCAGCUCUGUGAUCCUCAUAUUGGAGGAUGUUGUUGACCCAUGUUCCUGGAGUGUGCAGAAUAGCCUUGCUACCCAGAGACCACGAGCAUGCCAGAGGCACGCACUGCUUGGAGCUCAUUGCAGAGGUGCUGGCAGUCCUGCUGCCUCCGUGUGGGAAGCUGCAUAGCUGCUACAGCACAAUCCUGUUGGUUUUACUGGUUACCUCUUCUGAACCUUUCCUGGUGGGCUCACAGCUCAUUGCUGUCUCAGAGGAACAGGAGAGCAGAGUCUGGCUCUACAGCACAAGAAUCGGAGCCUUCUGCGUUAACCAAGGCAACAAGUGCAGUUGUGGACUUCUCCUUCACACCACUGCUUAAAACACACAUAAUUGUGGUGCAUAUGAACUUUGCUUAUAAUCUCCUCACUGUGUAUAUGCAUUCCCUUGCAAGCUGUGCAAUAUAUCAUUACAUCUCUUACAGUGUAGAAAUACUGUAUAAAAAUGAGAUUGAGUCCUUUAUUUAUAGUCAUCUACAGCCAGAUGAUGGAAAACAUUUUCUGCUUAAAGAAUGAUUACUGUUAGUGUUUCCUGGAAACCCCUUUCAUCAAACAGUGGGAAUGUUUCUUGUCCUUAGCAUCACAUCUGCAAAGUUAGAGCCAAGAAAAUGUCAAUAAUUCUAUUAUUACAAAUCCCAGCUUUCAAAGAUUAAUAAUUUUACAUAUACUCACUCACACAAAGACAAAAGCAUUUUGAGCUGAAAUUUGGCAUAAACAUUUGUAACCCAAGAGCAAAGCUUGCUUCUGCAAAAUGAUCUCCACAGUUUUGAAGCUGAGAGGACUCUCAAGAUGCCUGCAUUUUUUUGUUUGUUUGUUUUUUCAUUAUUUUUUUUGAGUCAGUUGUUUGGAACUGAUACAAUCUCACUUGCUAUCCGGCAAGAACUCAUUUGUAUGUCUGAAGCUCUCAAUAGGAAAAAAAAAAAAGUGGUUUACGGUGUCAUG